rnacentral:rRNA from 1 species
GAUGAACGCUGGCGGCGUGCCUAAUACAUGCAAGUCGAGCGAACAGAUGAGGAUCUUGCUUCUCUGACGUUAGCGGCGGACGGGUGAGUAACACGUGGAUAACCUACCUAUAAGACUGGGAUAACUUCGGGAAACCGGAGCUAAUACCGGAUAAUAUAUUGAACCGCAUGGUUCAAUAGUGAAAGACGGUUUUGCUGUUACUUAUAGAUGGAUCCGCGCCGCAUUAGCUAGUUGGUAAGGUAACGGCUUACCAAGGCAACGAUGCGUAGCCGACCUGAGAGGGUGAUCGGCAACACUGGAACUGAGACACGGUCCAGACUCCUACGGGAGGCAGCAGUAGGGAAUAUUCCGCAAUGGGCGAAAGCCUGACGGAGCAACGCCGCGUGAGUGAUGAAGGUCUUCGGAUCGUAAAACUCUGUUAUUAGGGAAGAACAAAUGUGUAAGUAACUAUGCACGUCUUGACGGUACCUAAACAGAAAGCCACGGCUAACUACGUG